UUCUCUCACUCACUCACUCACCGUCACUCUCUCUCUCAUCUUCUCCAUCUUCCAUCUUCUAGAUGUAGAAAAAUUAGGGUUUUGGCUAUGGCUAUGGCUGUCACAAAAGCUUGCAAUUUCUUCACUGUUACGACGACUCGGAGCGAUCUUCUCCUCUUCUUCACUUCGUCUCUCUCCUCUCUCAUCUUUUUCACGUCGUCUCUCUCCUCUCUCAUCUUCUUCACGAUUCUGCUAAUUCUUUCGUUAAUGUUAUAUUGAUUUCUUUGAUGAUUUUUUCGGGUUAAUUCAUUCUGAAAUUGAGUAAUUUUAUGGUUAUUAAGGUUUCGUUUUUGAUUUUUUUGCAGAGAAUUGUGUAAUUUGGGAGAUGAACAAAGAUCGACCAUUUGAUCCUCUCGAUUUCUUCAUCUGAACUGUGGAGAGAAUUGUGUAGUUUGGGAGAUGAACAAAGAUCGACCAUUUGAUCCUCUCGAUUUCUUCAUCUGAACUGUUGAGGAUUUUGUAGAUUUGUAGCAACUCCAAUCCUUCUGUUCCAAGGAUGCUACAUUGAGUUGGUGUAGGUGGGAUUUCAUUAACAACAGCAACAUUUCAUUAACAACAGCAACAUUAGAGACAAUUUUAGAUGUUGAUAUUCGGUAGCUUCUCUCAAUCGUUCUUGGCUUGUAUAUUUUCUGCAAUUUCAAAAUGUGCCAAAAAUUAGUGGGUCUCACAAAUUAUGUGUUGCAAGCUCUCUCUAAGCAAGAGGUCAGAACUGGAUCUCAUUCAUGAAUCAUGGCCUGAGAUUAAAGAAAGCAUAAGCGAAUGAGGCAUCCAUGGAACAGUAUACUUCUCAACAUGUUGAUAACAACGCGGCCACGAAGCUUGCUGCUGCUGUUGCUGCAAGGAAAGGUUGUGUUUUUCACAAACUCCGGAACGGAAGCAAAUGAGUUAGCCUUAAUGAUGGCAAGGUUAUACACUGGGUGCCAGGAUGUUAUCUCUAUAAGGAAUGCUUAGCAUGGAAAUGCUGCUGGAACUAUGGGUGCAACUGCUCUGCUCAGUGCAAUUGGAAGUUUGAUGUUACUCAGAACGGGGUACAUCAUGCCAUGAAUCCUGACCCUUAUAGAGGUAUGUUUGGAGCAUAUGGAGAGAUGUAUGCAAAAGUUGUUCAGGAUAUUAUCCAAUUUGGAACAUCUGGUCAUGUUGCUGGAUUCAUCUGUGAAGCCAUUCAGGAAGUUGGAGGAAUCAUAGAAUUGGCCCCUGGAUAUCUUUCUUCUGUGUAUGAUUUUGUAAAGAAAGCUGGAGGGCUUUUCAUAGCUGAUGAAGUUCAAGCUGGAUUUGCUCGCACUGGAAGCCACUUUGGGGUUUUGAGGCUCAUGGAGUUGUCCCUGAUAUUGUGACCAUGGCAAAGAUUGGGUGUCUUGGAAUUAGCUAGCGUCCCUAUCUGCGGAUGGAUCUUGAAGGAGGGGGAAUUCAGCUACUUCUUGAGCAAACUCUCCAAAUUGUUCAAUCAAUUAUCCAUGCUUCGGAGAUUGAUGCCACUAUUUCCCAGUGGCCAUAUUGGUGGCCAGACGGCCUUAGUGCGGGGAGGAUGUUGUGGUAUCUAUGGAGCGAAUUGUGCUGACUGGAUCAUGAGCAUGGAGAGCAUUUUUAUAGGCCUGCAAUGCCGAUGGACUCUUAUUGUGUUCCUUUGUAUGACACUUUAGGUGCUGGUGCUGUAGAAUUUAUCAUUUUCCAUGCAGAAGUUUCAAUUGCAUUCGUAGAAGAAAAAAAGAUUCCUGAGUUGCUUAAAGCUUUGCAAAACACAUUGAAAUACUUGAAAACUGUGGUUAGUUUUGGGAAUAUCACACAUGAGCAUAAAGAAGUUGUUGAAAAACUUGGCAUGCAGAUGUAUAGUUGGGAUGACUUUUUGCAAUUGGUAGGUAGGCAUAUUUUGAUGCUGGAGAAUGUUUUAAUCUUUUGUCUACGGACUUAUCUGGUUUUAUGUAGCCUUAAGUAAAUGUUGCUCCUUAUGUUUUUCUCAAUAGCUUAUAUAUUGAUAAGCAUUUGGAGCUUUGUUCAGAAAGUUUAAUACCCAUUAUGCAGUUCCAGAGUGCAAUGUGUAAAGUUGUCUUUUGUAUCUACAUAGUUAUUAAACAAUAAGUAUAAUGAUGUUUUUUUAUUGGCAA